AUUUAUAAUUAUCUGUUCACAUAAAAACCUCAGGUCUAGAUGGCUUUACUAGCAGUCAUAAGAUGUAGAAGAUAUUUAUGAAGAAGUAAUGACAUUUCUACAGAGAAGAACAUACUUUCCUAAUCAUUUUAUGAGGAAAGACAAUUCCAGGGAGUUAAAGUGAAGAAAAACAACAACAAAAUAAUUCAAGUGAAGAGGUGGAGCCCAAAUAGGGCUGUGGUAUUGAGCUGACUCUAGUGUUACACUACGAAAAUGCCUGUAACUGUAUCUCUGGACCAUCCCGGAGAGGAAAGGUUGUGCAUGCUGGGCAUAGGAGCUGAAGAGAGCCCUGUGGUAUCACCAGCAAGGCAGCCCUUGGGCGGGAAGCCAGAGGGGAAGAAAAGGGACUGAAGAUGAAGCAACAUCCAGUUACAUCUGUGUGAAUUUGGUCUGAACACAUGGAAACCUGGAAGAGAGAUGUUAAAAUGGCCUGAAAAACAGGAUAAUUUGUGUUGGAUGCAAAGGUCUUUAUUUCUUUCUGCCAGCAUGAUCUAAAUAUAUCCUAAUACCUCAUGGGCUUAGUCUCUGCACUGCAGAUGUCUUUUUUCUUAUUGAGAUUAUUUCCCUAUUGUAGAUUGCUGGUGAAAUUU
rnacentral:lncRNA from 1 species